AAAUAUGAGGACAGUCUGGCUGUGGCAUACGUCACCGCAUUGAAUGUCUGUUGAUGUGCAAUUCAUCUGGCUGGUUAGGUGGGUAUUCCCUUCACUGCCCCAUGUUUGUCCCUUCAGAGCUGCCUUUGCAGCUACUUGCAUAUCCUUGACUGAAGAACACUCCCCUUUGAGAACCUCUCAACUUCCCUAAAGUAACUUAAAAUCUGAUGUGAGGGAAUCCAAGUACAGAUUAGCUUCUUUUAAGGUACAGAGCAUAGGCACUCCAAACAUUGAGAUUUCACCAAUUCAGUGAAGCAUCUCUUGUU
rnacentral:snRNA from 1 species